UACGUAGGUGGCAAGCGUUGUCCGGAUUUACUGGGCGUAAAGAGCGCGCAGGCGGUCGUUCAAGUCGCGUGUGAAAGCCCCCGGCUCAACUGGGGAGGGUCACGCGAUACUGAUCGACUCGAAGGCAGGAGAGGGUAGUGGAAUUCCCGGUGUAGUGGUGAAAUGCGUAGAUAUCGGGAGGAACACUAGUGGCGAAGGCGACUACCUGGCCUGUUCUUGACGCUGAGGCGCGAAAGCCAGGGGAGCAAACGGG
rnacentral:rRNA from 1 species